rnacentral:rRNA from 1 species
CACCUACGGGAUGCAGCAGUGAGGAAUAUUGGUCAAUGGGCGGGAGCCUGAACCAGCCAAGUCGCGUGAGGGAAGACGGUCCUAUGGAUUGUAAACCUCUUUAGGCGGGGAGCAAUGCCGGGCACGUGUGCCCGGAGGGAGAGUACCCGCAGAAUAAGCAUCGGCUAACUCCGUGCCAGCAGCCGCGGUAAUACGGAGGAUGCGAGCGUUAUCCGGAUUCAUUGGGUUUAAAGGGUGCGCAGGCGGGCCUUUAAGCCGGCGGUGAAAUCGCGGGGCU